ACGAACCGUCCGAACGUUAUUCGGAAUCACUGGGCUUAAAGGGUGCGUAGGCGGCGCGGAAAGUUGGGUGUGAAAUCCCUCGGCUCAACCGAGGAACUGCGCCCAAAACUACCGUGCUCGAGGGAGAUAGAGGUGAGCGGAACUUAGGGUGGAGCGGUGAAAUGCGUUGAUAUCCUAAGGAACACCGGUGGCGAAAGCGGCUCACUGGAUCUCUUCUGACGCUGAGGCACGAAAGCUAGGGUAGCGAACGGGAUUAGAUACCCCGGUAGUCCUAGCCGUAAACGAUGAGCACUGGAUUGGAGGGUCCUCCAUAGCCUUCCAGUCGCAACGAAAGCGUUAAGUGCUCCGCCUGGGGAGUAUGGUCGCAAGGCUG
rnacentral:rRNA from 1 species